UUCCAGCUCCAAUAGCGUAUAUUAAAGUUGUUGCGGUAAAAAAGCUCGUAGUUGGAUUUCUGUCGAAAACGAGCGGUCCACACAACGUGUGCGCAUCUGCUUCGGUUUUGACAUCCUUCCGAAAGACGACUCUGCGCUUGAUUGCGUGGAUCGGAUUACGGGACUUUUACUUUGAGGAAAUUAGAGUGUUCACGGCAGGCUAUCGCCAGAAUACAUUAGCAUGGAAUAAUACUAUAGGAUCUUGAUCCUAUUUUGUUGGUUUCUAGGAGCAAGAUAAUGAUUAAUAGGGACAAUUGGGGGCAUUCGUAUCAACACGUCAGAGGUGGAAUUCUUGGAUUGUGUUGCGACGAACUACUGCGAAAGCAUUUGCCAAGGAUGUUUUCAUCG
rnacentral:rRNA from 1 species